CAUUGAAACACUGGUUCUCAUACGAUCACCGACGUUAAAUAACAUCGAGCCGGGAUAGUAACAAGAUGAGUGACCGGAUGUGAAUACAAGGUGUUGUAAG